rnacentral:rRNA from 1 species
GACGUAGGGGGCGAGCGUUGUCCGGAAUUACUGGGCGUAAAGGGCGCGCAGGCGGUUUGGUAAGUCGGUUGUGAAAGGCCAAAGCUCAACUUAGGGAUAGCAACUGAUACUGCCGGGCUUGAGUGCAUUAGAGGAGAGCGGAAUUCCUGGUGUAGCGGUGAAAUGCGUAGAUAUCAGGAAGAACACCGGUGGCGAAGGCGGCUCUCUGGGGUGUAACUGACGCUGAGGCGCGAAAGCUGGGGGAG